CAUAAAGUGCGUCGUAGUCCGGAUUGGAGUCUGCAACUCGACUCCAUGAAGUCGGAAUCGCUAGUAAUCGUGGAUCAGAAUGCCACGGUGAAUACGUUCCCGGGCCUUGUACACACCGCCCGUCACACCAUGGGAGUGGGUUGCAAAAGAAGUAGGUAGCUUAACCUUCGGGAGGGCGCUUACCACUUUGUGAUUCAUGACUGGGGUGAAGUCGUAACAAGGUAACCGUAGGGGAACCUGCGGUUGGAUCACCUCCUUA
rnacentral:rRNA from 5 species